GGCCUUGUGGCCCAAUGGAUAAGGCGGCUGACUACGGAUCAGGAGAUUCCAGGUUCGAGUCCUGGCAGGGUCG
rfam:Nematostella vectensis strain CH2 x CH6 NEMVEscaffold_3733_Cont46067, whole genome shotgun sequence.